UACGAAGGGGGCUAGCGUUGCUCGGAAUUACUGGGCGUAAAGCGCAUGUAGGCGGUCCUGUAAGUCGGACGUGAAAGCCCGGGGCUCAACCCCGGAAGCGCGCUCGAUACUGCUCGACUUGGGUUCUGAAGAGGAGAGCGGAAUUCCCGGUGUAGAGGUGAAAUUCGUAGAUAUCGGGAGGAACACCAGUGGCGAAGGCGGCUCUCUGGGCAGAUACCGACGCUGAGAUGCGAAAGCGUGGGAAGCAAACAGG
rnacentral:rRNA from 1 species